rnacentral:lncRNA from 10 species
GGCCAUGGUGGCUCACGCCUGUAAUGUCAGCACUUUGGGAAGCCAAGGCGGGUGGAUCACUUGAGGCCAGGAGUUCAAGACCAGCCUGGGCAAUAUAGUGCGAUCUUGUCUCUAUGUAAAAUAAUUAAAAUAAAAUACAAACAAACAAAACAAAAACCGCUUUUCUUUUCUUUUUUUUUUUUUUUAAAGAGAUGAGAUCUCGCUAUUUUGCCCUAUUGCCUCUGCUGGCGUUAAACUCCUGAGUUCAAGCGAUCCUCUCACUUCAGCCUUCUGAGUACGGGACUACAGGCAGGUGCCAAUAAGCCUGGCUCAAAUAGAGGCUUUUUAGCUUGAGACUCUAUCCUGAGAUUUUGAUGUGGUAGGUCUAGGGUGAGGCAUAGGCAUUUUUUAAAAAGCUACAAAUGAUUCCAAUGUACAGUUUAUACUGACAAUGACUGAACAGAAGUCACAAUGUUAGCACACACACAUGAGGAACUUUGAAGUGGAAGCUACUCUUGGCCACUUGCAUUACUUUUCCCGGUCUAUCUUUUCACCUUAUCCUUCUGGGUUCUAUGAACUGAAAGGGUUAAAUCAGGUAGCACAGAAAUCUGAGAUGUGCUUAGAGAAGGGAUGGAUCAAACAUUAAAUAGCAUUGUCCUGAUACCACUCAAUUCAUCAGGUACAAAGUCUCUAAGGCAUGGACUCUGCUGUGUUUCCUCUGUGCCUUCCAUGGAGCUUAGCAGAAAGCAGAUGUUGAAUAAAUACCCAUAAACAGGAGAAAACAGUUGCCCUGGUGUCAACACUGUUAUUGCCUGCCCUAAUCUCCUCUGAAGCCCAGUUGCUUAGAAGAAAAAAUGAACAUUUCAGGAAUUAAGAACGCUAAGGCUUCCAGUGUUUUCCAUUCAAAAGGUCAGUGACACGCUUUGCCCCACUCACUGCAGAACUAAGGGGGAAAGACCACAAAAUAAGGAACCUUAGAUAAGCCAUCUUCCAGUGGCAUUUACAAGUUGUGAGGCCCAUAUGCAUAGCAUGAGAGCAAAUCCCAUGACUGAAGUACUAACAGCUCUGUGUGAUUUCCCCAUACAUCCCAAGGGAGCAUACAUCUCCUGCCUUCGGGUUUCCAGUUCGAUUUCCAAUCAUGAACAGCAAUUUCA